UACGAAGGGGGCUAGCGUUGUUCGGAAUCACUGGGCGUAAAGCGCACGCAGGCGGAUUGAUAAGUCAGGGGUGAAAUCCCGGGGCUCAACCUCGGAAUUGCCUUUGAUACUGUCUGUCUUGAGUUCGGGAGAGGUUGGCGGAAUUCCUAGUGUAGAGGUGAAAUUCGUAGAUAUUAGGAAGAACACCAGUGGCGAAGGCGGCCAACUGGCCCGAUACUGACGCUCAUGUGCGAAAGCGUGGGGAGCAAACAGGG
rnacentral:rRNA from 1 species